GAUGAACGCUGACAGAAUGCUUAACACAUGCAAGUCUACUUGAAUUUGGGUUUUUUAACUUAGAUUUGGGUGGCGGACGGGUUAGUAACGCGUAAAGAACUUGCCUCACAGCUAGGGACAACAUUUUGAAACGAAUGCUAAUACCUGAUAUUAUGAUUAUAAUGCAUCUUAGUAUUAUGAAAGCUAUAUGCGCUGUGAGAGGGCUUUGCGUCCCAUUAGCUAGUUGGUGAGGUAACGGCUCACCAAGUCGAUGAUGGGUAGCCGGCCUGAGAGGGUGAACGGCCAAAAGGGGACUGAGACACGGCCAUUACUCCUACGGGAGGCAGCAGUGGGGAAUAAUGGACAAAGGACCAAGAGUCUGAACCAGAAAUUCUGUGUGCAAGAUGACGUUUUUCGGAAUGUAAAGUGCUUUAAGUUGGGAAGAAAAAAAUGACGGUACCAAAAGAAGAAGUGACGGCUAAAUACGUG
rnacentral:rRNA from 1 species